rnacentral:rRNA from 1 species
AAUGAACGCUGGCGGCAGGCCUAACACAUGCAAGUCGAACGGAUCCUUCGGGAUUAGUGGCGGACGGGUGAGUAACGCGUGGGAACAUACCCAAAGGUACGGAAUAGCCUCGGGAAACUGGGAGUAAUACCGUAUGUGCUCGAAAGAGGAAAGAUUUAUCGCCUUUGGAUUGGCCCGCGUUGGAUUAGGUAGUUGGUGGGGUAAUGGCCUACCAAGCCGACGAUCCAUAGCUGGUUUGAGAGGAUGAUCGGCCACACUGGGACUGAGACACGGCCCGGACUCCUACGGGAGGCAGCAGUGGGGAAUCUUAGACAAUGGGGGAAACCCUGAUCUAGCCAUGCCGCGUGAUCGAUGGAGGCCUUAGGGUUGUAAAGAUCUUUCAGGUGGGAAGAUAAUGACUGUACCACCAGAAGAAGCCCCGGCUAACUCCGUGCCAGCCGCCGCAGUAA